AAACGUAGGAGGCAAGCGUUAUCCGGAUUUACUGGGCGUAAAGCGCAUGCAGGUGGUCUCGCAAGUUGGAUGUGAAAGCUCCUGGCUUAACUGGGAGAGGUCGUUCAAAACUGCGGGACUAGAGAGUGGUAGAGGGAGGUGGAAUUCCGGGUGUAGUGGUGAAAUGCGUAGAUAUCCGGAGGAACACCAGUGGCGAAAGCGGCCUCCUGGACCACUUCUGACACUCAGACGCGAAAGCUAGGGUAGC
rnacentral:rRNA from 1 species